rnacentral:ncRNA from 1 species
UGGCAAAGCAGUGGAAACGCUGUGACGCAAAGCUAAAGGGCCUAAAGAUUAAAAUAUGGCAGCCAGUUGC